UUUGAGAGAGACCAGAUUCGAUCUAUGAUGUCGAUUGCUCUUGAUGUGAGGGACGCCGCCCUAUUAGAGAGAGACGAGGCAUUAGCUCGUAGAGAUGCCACUGUUGUUGAGCGGGAUGAGGCCAGGUCAGACAGAGACGCAGUGAUAGUUGAGCGGGAUAGUGCUAUAUCUGCCCGGGAUGUGGCUGUCACAGAUAGUACUGCAGCGAGGUCCCUUACCACUGGUAUGAUCGCAGAGAUGAGUGCUUAUAUCGAUGAGCAUAUGGUCACCAUGCAGAUGGCUACAGAUCUGUUG
rnacentral:lncRNA from 1 species